CGGCUUUGUGCGAUUUACCCUCUCAAACUUUCUAGUUUGCAAGUCAGAAUUACUUUGAACGUCCCCUCUUCUGGACUCCCCUCCCCAAAGGGACUGGCGGCAAAGGAGAAUAGAACGCAGAUGGUUAAUAGUUCAAAUGAAAUGUAAAAACCUAUAAACCAAUAUUUUUUUAGAGGAGAAAAGCGUUCACCAAACCGCCACCCGGCAAGCGAGCAUCCGAUUUCCAUCCGGAGGAAAAAAUAUUUUAAAAACCAGACAUAAAAUUCCCUUUGCAAGAAAAGUGGCCCCUAAACUCCCUUGCCAAGGACACUGGGAGGAAGCAGAAAAGCAAAGACCAAGCUCGUACUUUUCAGUCCGCGGCUUGUGUGCCGCGAGGAGAGGCGCAAAGGGUGACACACCAGGAAAGUGGCUGUGAUUCAGCGUCCCUCUUAGCAGCAGGCACUGACAGAGGCAGGAGAGGAAAAAAGAAAGAAAGAAAGAGAAAACACAGCAAAUGAAUCAAACGGACGUAGCAGGCAAGAGUGUGGUUAUCGUUGGACCAGGAUUCAGGAUCUGACCGAGUAGCUGACUCUUAAUCCAGUUUGUGUUGAUCACCAGGAGGAUCUGGACCUCAGUGUUAUCACAUCUAAAGGUGAUAUGCCAACUCCACCUUUGCCUUCCACCAUGUUUGGAAGCUCCCUGAGGCCUCACCAGGAGCAGAUGCUCGUCCCAUGCUUCCUAUAAGCCUGCAGAACUGUGAGCCAUAAUAAACUGUGAAUUAUAAAUUGCCUUUAUAGCAAUGCAAAUGGACCAGUACAGAUGGGAUGCUGGGAAGACAGUUGUUCCACCUUCAGUAAAGUCCAUGGAACACAGUUGUGACUAUAUUCUAGGCCAGCCAAGAUGCUUGUACUCAGAAAGGAGUGAUCUCAGGACCAUAAGAAAGUGAAAAAAUAAAAAUAAGAAAACAAAGAAGGGAUUGUCAAUGAAUCAGAAUUCAUCAAGGUCAAAGUCUUAGGAAAUUCCUUCAUGAGGAAGUCUAGGGGGGCUAUGGAAAUGAAAAUUUUUAAACAAAUAGGGAAAAGAAAGCUGGAUAAAGUAUUUAUAGAAGAUAGAGGACCUGUGGUGGCUCAUGCCUGUAAUCCAAGGUGGAAGGAUUGCUUGAGGCCAGAAGUUCAAGACCAGUCCAAGCAACAUAGCAAGGCCCCAUCUCUACAAAAAAAUGAAAAUAAAAUUAGCCGAGCGUGAUGGCUCAUGCCUGUAGUUCUAGCUUCCAGAGAGGCUGAGGCAGGAGGAUUGCUUGAGUCCAGGAGUUCAAGAUUACAAUGAGCUAUGGUCACACCACUGCACUCCAGCCUGGGUGAUGGAGUGAGACUGUCUCAAUAAAAAGACAAAAAGGUAAGAGGCCAUCCUAGGAAACAAUCCCGUGAGUGAUAUUUCAUGAAUUAUCUUCGUGAACCGGAGCAAGUCGCUUUGCCUUCCUGAACCUUCUCUGAGAUGGAAGGGUGAUCUGAAAAUAUGCCUCCCGGCUAAACCUCAGCCCUGGCUGGCAGAUCUGGCUGGCUAAUGGGACUCCCCUUUUCCUCUCCAUGGCUCCUGUGCCUCCCCCUCAAGACUGUGUGUAUUCCAAGAGGACUACAUUCCCAGGUGGGGGUGUAUUGUUCUUAUAAUGAAGGCUUACAGAAUUUCCUCGAAUGUUGCAUCUAGUUUUAGCGUUCUGAAUCUGUGAAUCACAAAUUAGAAUUGGUGCCUUUGGAAGAGGAGAUGGGACAUGAAGCCUGCUCCACCUUCUGAUAAUGCCCUAAAGAGCAGCUCAAAAGACAGCUAAAAGAACCCAGAAAACAAAAUAGGUAAGUCUUGAAGAGAG
rnacentral:lncRNA from 1 species